CUUACUUUCAAAAAUCGCAUUUUUAUAGCUGUUCUAUUUUAAAAUCUUUAUAAAAACUUUAAGUUAUUUAAGUUUGUCUUGAUAAGCGAUAACAGACUUGUACGUAAUAUGCAAAGUGAAUAACAGAUUACAAUUUUCGGUGAGACAUGACCACCUGACUAAGAUACUUAAAGUGGAAUUAAGAAACAUGACUCAAGAGCUACUCUCUUUUAUCUUACAUUCAUGCAACUUAUUCACUCAAAACGGUAUUCAGAAACAAACGAUCAAUACAAGUCAUCUCAGAGGUGAGUGGAAAGUGAGUGACAAUUAAGGAGAAUCAGGAAGACCCUAAAAUCACACUUAAAUUAAAGAUUCUGUGUGUUUACUUCCAUAUUUUGUAAGAAUUUUAUUUCUUAUCAUCAAAUGCAACAAAAAUUAUUGUGUCAACGUUUCUAACAGGAAAAUACAUGAGACACUAAAAGCAAUGAAUUCAAUUCAGUGACACGGCAUUUAUUUGGCAUACAUUUGAAAAUACAAACGUGUACUUUCCGGUGCAUCUUUUACCCGAAAUGCUUGGGACCGGAAGUGCAAA